AUUGAACGCUGGCGGCAUGCUUUACACAUGCAAGUCGAACGGCAGCGCGGGGGCAACCCUGGCGGCGAGUGGCGAACGGGUGAGUAAUGCAUCGGAACGUAUCCUGUAAUGGGGGAUAACGUAGCGAAAGUUACGCUAAUACCGCAUACGCUCGAGAGAGGAAAGUGGGGGAUCGCAAGACCUCACGUUAUAGGAGCGGCCGAUGCCCGAUUAGCUAGUUGGUGGGGUAAAGGCCUACCAAGGCGACGAUCGGUAGCUGGUCUGAGAGGAUGAUCAGCCACACUGGGACUGAGACACGGCCCAGACUCCUACGGGAGGCAGCAGUGGGGAAUUUUGGACAAUGGGCGAAAGCCUGAUCCAGCCAUGCCGCGUG
rnacentral:rRNA from 1 species